CCUUCAGCUAGCACCUUGUACAUAGAGUACUGUACAGUGUUCUGUACAAUAAUCAUGUACAUCAUGCAGUCUGUGUACGUUUAAUGAACUGCUAGCGAAAAAGUGAUUUUGAAACAAAGCAAAAUAUUUUAGAUUAAAUUGAAAAAAAGUAUCAAAAAUAAACUUUAAAAUUAGUGAGUAAGAAAUCAAAUUGUUUUUUUUGUGCUAAUAUCGCCAAAAAUGUCGCAAUCAGCCUUCAGUUUGGUUACCCCAAAGGAUAAAGGAAGUGAAUGUUUGAUAGGUGAAAAUCACCAAGUUGAGCCCUCACCACCUCUUAAUAAAGUUUUUUAUCCUUUGUACAGCGGCCCACCUAGUACUCCAACCAGCUCAUGUACUUCUGUGAGUUCAUGUACUCCUGCUAGUUCAUGUACUCCUGCUAGUUCAUGUACUCCUGCGUACUGGUACUCCUCCCUACUCACCUCCUUGUACCGUCCCUCCCCCCUACCCUGGCCACCAACUGUACUUAGUCAGG